ACCGUUCAGAGUCACUCAAGUCACCAUAACGCUAUUUGUGAGCUUAGAGUUCGAAGGCAUCCUGACGUGGAAUGAUGUUCUUUCGGUAGCCGCUGGCAGCAGAUUUUCACUCUAUGAUAUUAUGGGUGCUUGGCAAGUUAGUGUCAGCUCUCUUCAGCCUUGUGCGCAAUUCUCAUCAUUCCCGUGGAUCCAGAAGCAAAUCUGGGCAUAUUUGAGAGGAGUAAUUCUUACUGCUACAUUGUAAUCCUGCUGUUCCCCAUUGACAUCCACCCACUGGUGGCCCGAAAAUACAGCAAUGAUCUUGCGUUUCCACUUCCUCUUGUUUGGCUCCUUCAGACGAAGAUAAACACCAGACCCAGUGGAGCCGGGCUCAGCAUCACAGUACUGAUAAAAGAGAUCAUUGGACUCAUCAGAAAUGCUACAAAAUCUGUAGACCAGCUGCCCGGAUCUGUCAUUGUCAAAUCCUGAGAAGUGGAUCAUACUGCCAGGCAUCAUUUUGAUGGUUGGGCUGAUUCCCAGCUCCAUGUAUUUCCUUUUGUGGGGUCGCUUGAGCUCAAGAACAGCAUAAUCGUAAUCUAGGGCAACAUCUCCCGAGAAACCCUUAAACCAGCCUUUUGGGAUGUGGGUACUCUUCACUCUGGUCCACUGGAAGGAGGGCAUGCCAUCUGAGCUCCCCUGCUUCCUCCCAGAUCUCCUCUGCUUUCUCCCACCGCCUCUGGACCGUCGCCUUAGUCCUGUGGCAACUUCAGGAUCCUCUUGGGUCUCAGUGGCUUCUCUCCUACUUCUUUUAGCACCUUUGCGUUUCCUGCCAUCACCUCUGGACUUCGUCCUCAUCAGACCCACUCUCAGCCUUUUGCUGCCCUUAACAUAGUCCUUGCCAUCAUGCAGACAGUGGGCAGCUGUGAGCACGUGCUUUGGGGAAAUGAGAAUGCCACUGCAGCCAGUGGAGAUCUUCACAGCUGUGUUGAAAGGGAAGUUGGUCAUAAACCGCUUGUCAUAGAUGCUGAACCUACUGUCCAUUCCAUAUAUCUGCCUCUUCUUUCUCAAAGACUUAUGUGCCGUUGUGUUUCCAGCGGGAUCAAGUGUCAGCCCAAGGACAUUCACUUCAGUCAGGAUCCGCGUGCCAUUUUCAAAGAUAGUCUCAUAGGAUAAGAGGUCCUUCAAGUCAGACAAGCUGGGCACUGGCAAUUUCCUUUGACAUUCAAUUCCACAAACGCUAUUCAGCUCCAAGUUGGGUUUUGCUUCAAAUUUAGGGCUGUCAAGGGAGAAAGUUCUUUCACUCACAAUCUGGGGAACCUUCUUUAAAUGCCAGGUAAAAUCUUGUUCAGUUCCCGUUCCAUUAGCAAGACCCAGUGCAGGCAUGAAAAAUAUGAACAGCAGUAACAUGUGAUCCAUCUUGUCUAUUUUUUUCUGGCAGCGCCGAGCCCCGGCCGGGGGGCAGCGGCCACAUCCACGCCGCGCCGGUGUCCCCGCUCCGCCGCCGCCGCCGAGCACCCGCCGCUACUGAGCACGGGGCGGGGG
rnacentral:lncRNA from 1 species